rnacentral:rRNA from 1 species
ACGGCUCAGUAACACGUAGUCAACCUAACCUAUGGACGGGAAUAACCUCGGGAAACUGAGAAUAAUGCCCGAUAGAACACUAUACCUGGAAUGGUUUGUGUUCCAAAUGAUUUAUCGCCAUAGGAUGGGACUGCGGCCUAUCAGUUUGUUGGUGAGGUAAUGGCCCACCAAGACUAUUACAGGUACGGGCUCUGAGAGGAGUAGCCCGGAGAUGGGUACUGAGACACGGACCCAGGCCCUAUGGGGCGCAGCAGGCGAGAAAACUUUGCAAUGUGCGAAAGCACGACAAGGUUAAUCCGAGUGAUUUGUGCUAAACGAAUCUUUUGUUAGUCCUAGAAACACUAACGAAUAAGGGGUGGGCAAGUUCUGGUGUCAGCCGCCGCGGUAAAACCAGCACCUCAAGUGGUCAGGAUGAUUAUUGGGCCUAAAGCAUCCGUAGCCGGCUCUGUAAGUUUUCGGUUAAAUCUGUACGCUUAACGUACAGGCUGCCGGGAAUACUGCAAAGCUAGGGAGUGGGAGAGGUAGACGGUACUCGGUAGGAAGUGGUAAAAUGCUUUGAUCUAUCGAUGACCACCUGUGGCGAAGGCGGUCUACCAGAACACGUCCGACGGUGAGGGAUGAAAGCUGGGGGAGCAAACCGGAUUAGAUACCCGGGUAGUCCCAGCUGUAAACUAUGCAAACUCAGUGAUGCAUUGGCUUGUGGCCAAUGCAGUGCUGCAGGGAAGCCGUUAAGUUUGCCGCCUGGGAAGUACGUACGCAAGUAUGAAACUUAAAGGAAUUGGCGGGGGAGCAC